AGGACGAACGCUGGCGGCGUGCCUAACACAUGCAAGUCGAGCGGAGUUAACAAGAGGAAGUUUCGGAUGGAAUUUGUAAUUAGCGGCGGACGGGUGAGUAACGCGUGAGCGACCAACCUUGCACAGGGGGAUAACGGACCGAAAGGUUCACUAAUACCGCAUGAGACCACGGUGUUGCAUGACGCAGAGGUCAAAGGAGCAAUCCGGUGCAAGACGGGCUCGCGUCCGAUUAGGUAGUUGGUGGGGUAAUGGCCCACCAAGCCUAUGAUCGGUAGCCGACCUGAGAGGGUGAUCGGCCACAUUGGAACUGAGAUACGGUCCAAACUCCUACGGGAGGCAGCAGUGGGGAAUAUUGGGCAAUGGGGGGAAAAACCCCCUGACCCAGCAACGCCGCGUGAAGGAAGAAGGUUUUCGGAUUGUAAACUCCUGUCCUUGGUGAAGAGAAGAAGACGGUAGCCAAGGAGGAAGCCCCGGCUAACUACGUGCCAGCAGCCGC
rnacentral:rRNA from 1 species